rnacentral:rRNA from 1 species
UACGUAGGGGGCUAGCGUUGUCCGGAAUCAUUGGGCGUAAAGCGCGUGUAGGCGGUCCGGUAAGUCCGGCGUGAAAGGCUUGGGCUCAACCCGAGAUGGCCGUUGGAAACUGUCGUUCUUGAGGGUCGAAGAGGAGAGUGGAAUUCCUGGUGUAGCGGUGAAAUGCGUAGAGAUCAGGAGGAACACCCAUGGCGAAGGCAGCUCUCUGGUCGACCUCUGACGCUGAGACGCGAAAGCGUGGGAGCGAACGGG